GCCUGGGUGGCUCAGUUGGUUGAGUGUCCGACUUUGGCUCAGGUCAUGAACUCAUGGUUUGUGAGUUCGAGCCCUGUCUCAGGCU
rnacentral:tRNA from 1 species